rnacentral:rRNA from 2 species
UGGGGAAUAUUGCGCAAUGGGGGGAACCCUGACGCAGCAACGCCGCGUGAAGGAGGAAGGUUUUCGGAUUGUAAACUUCUUUGAUGAGGGACGAAAAGAUGACGGUACCUCAAAAACAAGCCACGGCUAACUACGUGCCAGCAGCCGCGGUAAUACGUAGGUGGCGAGCGUUAUCCGGAAUUACUGGGUGUAAAGGGCGCGCAGGCGGGGAGACAAGUCAGAUGUGAAAUACCGGUGCUUAACACCGGGACUGCAACUGAAACUGUUUUUCUUGAGUGUCGGAGAGGGAAGCGGAAUUCCCAGUGUAGCGGUGAAAUGCGUAGAUAUUGGGAGGAACACCAGUGGCGAAGGCGGCUUUCUGGACGACAACUGACGCUGAGGCGCGAAAGCUAGGGGAGCAAACGGG